rnacentral:rRNA from 1 species
UAGGGAAUUGUUCGCAAUGGGCGCAAGCCUGACGACGCAACGCCGCGUGGAGGAUGAAGGCCUUUGGGUUGUAAACUGCUUUUAUAUGUGACGAAUAUGACGGUAGCAUAUGAAUAAGGAUCGGCUAACUCCGUGCCAGCAGCCGCGGUAAUAA